rnacentral:rRNA from 1 species
CAAUAGCGUAUAUUAAAGUUGUUGCGGUUAAAAAGCUCGUAGUUGGAGUUCUGCCAGGUGCCGUCUGUCCGCCCCAGUGGUGAGUACGUGACGCGCAUUUGGCCCUUUCAAGGGGAGCGUAUCUGCACUUUACUGUGUGGUGCGGGAUCCUUGACUUUUACUUUGAGGAAAUAGGAGUGUUCCAAGCAGGCUCUCGUCGUGCACAGCUCAGCAUGGAAUAAUAGCAUUGGACCUCGAUUCUAAGCUGUUGGUUGCCAGAAGCGAGGUAAUGAUGAAGAGGGAUAGUUGGGGGCAUUCGUAUUUAACUGUCAGAGGCGAAAUUCUUGGAUUUGUUAAAGACGGACUACUGCGAAAGCAUCUGCCAUGGAUGUUUUCAUUGA